UAAAUCUUGUCACGUUUUCAGUUCUUACAACUUUACGUUUAUCACCGGAAUCUAAAAGUGACAAAUUUUGUUUGCCGAGAAUGAAAUGGUUGUACAGGGAUAUUUAAAAAGUGAAUUGAUUAAGCCAAUGAAAAGAAUAUCAAGGUUUUAAGGGACACACAAUGAGUGUCUAAUAAAAAGAAACAUUCUUUCUCACCUGACGACCAGAAAAUUGUCAUGUGCUAGUCGAGUUCACAGUAAAGACCUACAGGGUUUUUAUUCUUCGGGAUGCGAAUAUUGCGCAAGCAAAUAAUGUUAAUGAAUUUGAGAGUGGAUUGGUUGGUCACUACAUCUAAUAUAAAUAUAAAAUAUAUAAAUAAUGAGAUGGUAAAAAUAGGAAAUCUAUAACAUUGACUCAUUUAUCGAAUAAAUACGAGUUUCAUAGCACCUCAAACACGUAAAUUCAACAAGUCGCUUAAGAUGUUUGCUCUGGAAAAAUAUAACAUUCCUUCUUCAGCUGAAAAUGUAGUCACAAUAUUUUCAGUGCCGAAAACUUGAAUAAUCUAUUCAUUUUCACACUGAUUAUUUAUAAAUAUAUUUUUGUUUGUUAUAAAUUCUGGUAAAAGGUGUUUGUAGUAGAUAAGGAACUACGAAACAUAUUUGUAACUACAAGUGCAACUAUAAUUUAUAAUUUUUAAUCUUAUAAUUUACUUUUCAAACAGAAACUUAUCUGUUAUAUUAUGUAUUAGUGUUUUUAUUAUUUUAUUAUUAUUAUUAUUAUUAUUAUUGUUAUUUUGUAUUGUAUCAAUAAGUAAAUUGAUUGGAUUGUACUCUUCUACCCAUUUAUGUAAAGCUCUCCCUCUUUAAGAACGGUUAACGGGUAGGCAACUCAAUUGUUGAGUUAAGCUCGUCAUUUUAUAACUUUUCGCAAUUAUUGUAUUGUAUUAACUGUGUGUACAAUAAAGAGUAAAGAAGAACAUAAUAUGUUGCUUUGCGGAAGGAAUAAUCAUGACGACGACGAAUACGAUAAAAACAUCCUACCGUAAAAACAUCUAAAACCAAAAUCAAAUGUGAAAACAUUUAUGACUAAAACAAAAGACGAUAAACUUCGCAGAAUGAAUCUAUUCUUGCCCGCAUCUCUAGACAAUACUAUUCCAAUUCAACAGAUCCAUUUAUCUCGGGAGGAAGAAUUCCUCGCCAUUACAUUCAGUAGCCUUUACCGCCGAUACUAUUAAGAGAUCACGAAUCUAAAAUAGCAUUGCACGGUAAAUACGCGAACAAAACGAAUAAACAGAGACAAUAGCUAAUGCGAGUGAAUUUAACUUGCGUCAGGAACUUGGAAUCUGGACGCUGUUCAAUUCAGUGGUGAAUCAAAUUGUUGUAUCGUUGUUUUUAUUUUCUUUUUUUAUUAACUUAAAAUAAAUAUUGACACUCUACAAA